rnacentral:lncRNA from 1 species
ACCUAUCAGGAUCAAACUGCAUCACGGAAGCUGCACACGAUGACACCCUGUCUGGAAAGUUUUUGCCAGAGGGCAAAAGACUGCAAGCAGAAUAUCCCUUUGCCAUUUCUCAUUCAGGACUGGCCGUUGUCUGAAAGCAAACCUCAAGGACAGGACUUCUGGACUCCGCAGCCACUCCAGGCUGCUGCUCCAUCGCAUGAAUUCCAGCAGGUGGCGCUGCACCCCGCGCGGACCCGGCUUGCCUCUCUCGGCCCCAGGGAGGUCGGUUGAUGAGCAGUCGGGAAGUGGGUCUGCGCGCACCCCGCUGCAGCUGUGGCAAACGCAAACGAUGACACACAGGCUUGACGAGGGCCUUUGUCAGAAGCAAUGGGGAUCUGGCGUCACCGCACAAUGGAAAACAAAGUGCUUCUGCCUGGCUGGCCAGAAUGCACGUUUGCUCACUAUUGAUGCCGGGGCAUUUACAGGCAGAAUGAGUUCAUGUGAAAUUUCAGGAUCUGCCAUGACUCAGAUUCACUUUCUGUAAACCAGAGUCAACAUUACAUUUCCCUUUACUCUGGGCCAUUCCUUGAAUUUUUAGGUCACCAGUUGUUUUUGUACUAACUGAAGGGAUUUGAGUAUUUCACAAGCACCUUAUUUUUAUUAGCAUUUUUAGGGCAUUACCAAUUUGGGACGGAUCUGUAGUGUGAGAGAUUGUUGUCACUCUUAGCUCCAAACGUAGGUUGACUUUAUAUAUUAUUUACAUGUUCAGAAUUAUACUGUGUAGAAAUUCAAAUGAAACUUGCAAAAUACUUUUCUGGCAGGAAGCCCUGGAGAGGAUCGUUCAUGGAAACAAGGAUGACGACUGGGGUAAGAAAUGCAGGUGACUCGUGAGUGGUCAGGGAGUGGAAGAGAAGACGGCUGGAAGGUUUUAGCAUUCAGAAAAAAAAUGGAGACAACUAGAGUUGAUCUGAAGAUUAUGGCAGAAUUCAAUAUUGGGGGAAAGAAACAAGAUGGGGGUUAGAAGUUAGAAACAGCAGAGCUCCACAGGUUGGAAAGGUUGGAAAGGAUUUGAGCAAGAGAACAAGAAGGAGCCUGCUAAUAGCACCCUGGGUUUACAUCAAGAGAAGCACCUGGAGAGAAUUAACUCGGGAGGAGGUGGGGGCAUGGGAAACCUUUUCAUCUCCAAGAGCGGGCAGGAACAGCAGCUGGCCUGAACUUGAAGGUACACCAGGUAGCUUGCCUGGGCCAGGAGAAGGUGAUUCUCUUCUAUGCCUCUCUCCAACGCCCUGCUUCUGAUGCUGCUCCUCUACCUGUAUUGAGGGGAAGAUACAUCCCUAAGAAGUUCCCUGAACCCCAUUCUUUGUUGUGGCUAACUGGUCCCCUUGGAAUUUUUCUACUAAUUUUCAAUUCCCCUUCUCACCUGGUGAAAUCUUAAAUCUUACUGUUCAAUAAAAGUUCUUCUACCAAAA